rnacentral:lncRNA from 1 species
UGGUUGAAUGAAGAAGAGCAUUUACUUUUUCUUUCCUUUGUGAUCUGGAACGCUCUUAGAACUUGGCUGGGGCACAUUUCAGUUGGUUUGGGUUUAGAAAUUGUGAAAAGGUGAUUUGGAAUAGGGAAGAAGCACGGUUAUUUAAUUUUAUUUUCUGGAUUUGCUAGAGUUACAGUUUCCACUUUUAAAGUAGGGGCAUCUUUAAUUUUAGUAAGCAUAUGGCAUAUUGGAAAGGUUGUGCACACGGGAUGGCUUCUUUCAUUUCGAUGCACGAGUUUUAUUACUUGGAGGCAAGUGUUUUAGUUUCCAAUUGAAAAGUGCUUUUUAAUUGCUUGGGGGCCGUUAACUUUCAGAUUUUCUCUGGGUGUUUUUACUGGAACAUGAUUUCUUGGGUUUUGGAGAAUGUUAUUUAACUUUUCUUGAGAAGAGCCACAUGUCCUUGGUUGUGGGUCCAGCUUUAGUUUCUUAAGCUUUUAUUGCAUUUGAAGAUUGCAUAGGAGAAUUUCUGGAUGAGGUGAUGUUACGGCUGGAUAAGGGAAACCUUUCCCAAUUUCAUUUUUCUUUGAAG